rnacentral:tRNA from 1 species
GGGGACGUGGCAGAGUGGCUGAUUGCAGCCGACUCUUAAUCGGGCAGGCCUCUGAUCUCGCGGGUUCGAAUCCCGCCGUCCCCG